rnacentral:lncRNA from 1 species
GCAGCUUAAAUUUUUGAAAAAGUCAUAAACCACCAUAUGUACAAGCAGUGCUAAAUAGUUAAAAAUUUAUAUGACUUCAAAUAUAGGUUAAAAGGGAAUCAUUUUCAAAACUUUUACAUGCAAUUGGAAUCUCUUAAAAAACAGAAUAGAAGGUAGAAGUGCCCAAGUCUAAGUGUAUCUUCAUUCACACGAAAAUACAAUAUGAGGCAUAUCAAGAGCAUAGAGAACAUUUUAGGGUGAACUCACAGAACAAAAAAAGAGUUUCUAAAGCAACUGUCUCCAAAUAGAUGACCAAAAACAAGGAAACGAACAAAUAUGAUUUAAAGCACAUGCGUGUGGCACAGUAAGAAUUACUGGAAAGAGAUUAGACAUGAUUAGAGAAAGACAGUCUUACAGUGAAUGAAAUCAAAUAUUUGAUUAUAUAUCCUUCACAUGGAAUUAUUUUGCUCUCCACUUGGAGUAUGUCGUUUUAUUAAUGAUUUUCUAAAAGCAGGAAUGCCUC